GCCCACCCUAAGUGCUAAGCAGUAUGUCAUCCAGUCUGAAAUGGAUACAAAACGUGCUAAGCAGCAAUUUGCUCAACGUUCACGGGUUCGGAAACUUCAAUAUAUAGCUGAACUGGAAAGGAAUGUGCAAGCUUUACAGGCAGGAGGAUCUGAAUUUUCUGCUGAGCUUGAAUUUCUCAACCAGCAGAAUCUUAUUCUGACCAUGGAGAACAAAGCCUUGAAGCAACGUUUAGAAAGUUUAGCCUAGGAGCAGCUGAUAAGUAUUGUAAGUUUUCAUACUUCUUGAAGCUUUUUGAAUCGUAUUUGCUUCUGUUGCUUGGAAGCCCCCAACUCAGGUAUAAUCAAUCCUACAAGAAUUAUGGGAAUAUUGAUAAUGGAUGCUGUUUGAGGGUAAUUCUGAAUCUGAAUUCUUAGAUGAUAAUUGAAGAUAUAAACUGUAUAGGAAUGAGCAUAAAGGAAUAUUGAGCUAACUGUAAACUUCCAGUGGUUUUUGCCUAUAUGUCAUUGAAGCAGGGGAAAAUUUUUGUUGUAGCAUUACAUAAUUUUUAAAACAUUUCUUUUACAUUUACUGUAAGAAAACAUUAAAUUUCUGGGCGUUUUCUGCAUGAAUGCUCCUGGAACUGCUAUA